rnacentral:tRNA from 1 species
UCCCUGGCAGUCCAGUGAUUAGGACUUCACCUUCCAAUGCAGGAAAUCCAGGUUUGAUUCCUGGCCAGGGAG